AACGCACAUUGCGCCCUCUGGCAUUCCGGGGGGCAUGCCUGUCCGAGCGUCAUUUCUGCCUUCAAGCGCGGCUUGUGUGUUGGGCGUUGACCCCUCUAGGGGACAUACCCUAAAUGCAGUGGCGGCUUGUCUGUCUGUGGGUUCUCGAGUAUUUUGGGCUCUGUCACUUGCUCGGGAGGGACUCGCGGGACGCCAGCCUCAACCAGGCCUCUCCUCUCCGGGGGAGGGCCCCUUUUCAGUUGACCUCGGAUCAGGUAGGGAUACCCGCUGAACUUAA
rnacentral:misc_RNA from 1 species